rnacentral:rRNA from 1 species
AACGCUGGCGGCAUGCUUUAACAUGCAAGUCGAACGGCAGCGCGGGGCAACCUGGCGGCGAGUGGCGAACGGGUGAGUAAUAUAUCGGAACGUACCCAGAAGUGGGGGAUAACGUAGCGAAAGUUACGCUAAUACCGCAUACGAUCUACGGAUGAAAGUGGGGGACCUUCGGGCCUCAUGCUUUUGGAGCGGCCGAUAUCUGAUUAGCUAGUUGGUGAGGUAAAGGCUCACCAAGGCGACGAUCAGUAGCUGGUCUGAGAGGACGACCAGCCACACUGGAACUGAGACGCGGUCCAGACUCCUACGGGAGGCAGCAGUGGGGAAUUUUGGACAAUGGGCGCAAGCCUGAUCCAGCAAUGCCGCGUGAGUGAAGAAGGCCUUCGGGUUGUAAAGCUCUUUUGUCAGGGAAGAAACGGCUGAGGUUAAUACCUUCGGCUAAUGACGGUACCUGAAGAAUAAGCACCGGCUAACUACGUGCCAGCAGCCGCGGUAAUACGUAGGGUGCAAGCGUUAAUCGGAAUUACUGGGCGUAAAGCGUGCGCAGGCGGUUUUGUAAGUCUGACGUGAAAUC